GAUUGCUUUUAUGUCUAGGGGUCAGAGGAACAUGUUAGAGUGAAGCCAAGUUUUAAAAGGAAGGUUCAAAUAUGCACUAGGUUUUGCCCAGGAUCCAGGAGGAAGCAUUGUGUAUAAAGAAGGGAGAAUAUCCUGAGUGGGUCUGACUUAACCAGGUGGGCUGGUAAAAGAGACAAAAGGUAACAACAGAUUCUCUUGCUGGAGUUGAAAAAGUCAGUUACUAUGUUUUAAGAUGAGAAGUCCACAUGGCAAGAACGUGAGAAUGGUCCCUGACUGACAGCCAGCAAGAAAACAGGGAUCUUGGUCGUAUAACUUCAAGCAAAUGAAUUCUUUCAAUAACCAGUGAGCUUUGAAGGGAUCUUGAAUUUCAGAUGAAAUCACAUCCUUGGGAAACAUUUUGAUUUUAGCCUAGUGAGACCUGGAGGACCUGGCUAACCCAUACCCAGACUCCUGACCCAAGGAAUCUGUGAGAUAAUAAAUCUGUGUUGUUUUAGUGACUCAGUUUGUGGUGGUUUGUUCUGUGGGAAUAGAAAAUGAAUACACAUACUGUUUCUUGUCUACCCC
rnacentral:lncRNA from 1 species